rnacentral:rRNA from 1 species
CCUACGGGGGGCAGCAGUGAGGAAUAUUGGUCAAUGGGCGAGAGCCUGAACCAGCCAAGUCGCGUGAAGGAUGAAGGAUCUAUGGUUUGUAAACUUCUUUUAUAUGGGAAUAAAGUGAGGAACGUGUUCCUUUUUGUAUGUACCAUAUGAAUAAGCAUCGGCUAACUCCGUGCCAGCAGCCGCGGUAAUACGGAGGAUGCGAGCGUUAUCCGGAUUUAUUGGGUUUAAAGGGUGCGUAGGUGGUUAAUUAAGUCAGCGGUGAAAGUUUGUGGCUCAACCAUAAAAUUGCCGUUGAAACUGGCAGACUUGAGUAUAUUUGAGGUAGGCGGAAUGCGUGGUGUAGCGGUGAAAUGCUUAGAUAUCACGAAGAACUCCGAUUGCGAAGGCAGCUUACUAAACUACAACUGACACUGAAGCACGAAAGCGUGGGGAUCAAACAGGAUUAGAUACCCGUGUAGUC